rnacentral:rRNA from 1 species
UCCGGUUGAUCCUGCCGGAGGUUACUGCUAUCGAGGUUCGACUAAGCCAUGCGAGUCGAAUGUAGCAAUACAUGGCGUACUGCUCAGUAACACGUGGACAACCUACCCUCCGGACGGGUAUAAACCCGGGAAACUGGGUAUAAUCCCCGAUAGAUCUCGGUCGCUGGAAUGCCCCGAGAUCGAAAGCUCCGGCGCCAGAGGAUGGGUCUGCGGCCUAUCAGGUAGUAGUGGGUGUAGCGUACCUACUAGCCUACGACGGGUACGGGUUGUGAGAGCAAGAGCCCGGAGAUGGAUUCUGAGACACGAAUCCAGGCCCUACGGGGUGCAGCAGGCGCGAAAACUUUACAAUGCCGGCAACGGCGACAAGGGGACCUCGAGUGCCAGGUUACAAAUCUGGCUGUCGUGAUGCCUAAAAAGCAUUGCAUAGCAAGGGCCGGGCAAGACCGGUGCCAGCCGCCGCGGUAACACCGGCGGCUCGAGUGGUAACCGUUAUUAUUGGGUCUAAAGGGUCUGUAGCCGGCCGGAUAAGUCUCUUGAGAAAUCCAGCGGCUCAACUGUUGGGCUUUCAGGAGAUACUGUUCGGCUCGAGGCCGGGAGAGGUGAGAGGUACUUCAGGGGUAGGGGUGAAAUCUUGUAAUCCUUGAAGGACCACCAGUGGCGAAGGCGUCUCACCAGAACGGACCUGACGGCAAGGGACGAAAGCUAGGGGCACGAACCGGAUUAGAUACCCGGGUAGUCCUAGCCGUAAACGAUACUCGCUAGGUGUCGGCCACGGUGCGACCGUUGUCGGUGCCGUAGGGAAGCCGUGAAGCGAGCCACCUGGGAAGUACGGCCGCAAGGCUGAAACUUAAAGGAAUUGGCGGGGGAGCACCACAACGGGUGGAGCUUGCGGUUUAAUUGGAGUCAACGCCGGA